ACGGAAGGUCCAGGCGUUAUCCGGAUUUAUUGGGUUUAAAGGGAGCGUAGGCCGCUUGGUAAGCGGGCAGUGAAAUGCAGAGGCUCAACCUCUGACUUGCUGUUCGAACUGCCAGGCUUGAGUACGCACGAGGUAGGCGGAAUUUGUGGUGUAGCGGUGAAAUGCUUAGAUAUCACAAAGAACUCCAAUUGCGAAGGCAGCUUACCGGAGCGCAACUGACGCUGAAGCUCGAAAGUGCGGGUAUCGAACAG
rnacentral:rRNA from 1 species